UAAUACGGAAUCUCACCCAAGCCUCACACA
rnacentral:piRNA from 1 species